UGGAAGCAUGGAGGUGUUUAGGAGAGAUGGCAGUGGAGUUUUUAACCAGAUUAUUUAAUGGAAUCUUGGAAAGUGAGAGGAUGACUGAGGAGUGGAGAAGAAGUGUACUGGUGCCGAUAUUUAAGAAUAAGGGGGAUGUGCAGAGCUGUAGUAACUAUAGGGGGAUAAAAUUGAUAAGCCACAGCAUGAAGUUAUGAGAAAGAGUAGUGGAAGCUCGGUUAAGAAGGGAGGUGAUGAUUAGUGAGCAGCAGGAUGGUUUCAUCCCAAGAAAGAGCACCACAGAUGCGAUGUUUACUCUGAGGAUUUUGAUGGAGAAGUAGAGAGAAGGCCAGAAGGAGUUGCAUUGUGUCUUUGUGGACUUGGAGAAAGCAUAUGACAGAGUGCCUUGAAAGGAGCUGUGGUAUUGUAUGAGGAGGUCGGGAGUGCCAGAGAAGUACGUAAGAGUUGUACAGGAUAUGUACGAGGGCAGUGUGACAGUGGUGAGGUCUGCGGUAGGAGUGACGGAUGCAUUCAACGUGGAGGUGGGAUUACAUCAGGGAUCGGCUCUGAGCCCUUUCUUAUUUGCAAUGGUGAUGGACAGGUUGACAGACGAGAUUAGACAGGAGUCCCACUGGACUAUGAUGUUUGCUGAUGACAUUAUGAUCUGUAGCGAUAGUAGGGAGCAGGUUGAGGAGACCCUGGAGAGGUGGAGAUCUGCUCUAGAGAGGAGAGGAAUGAAGGUCAGUAGGAACAACACGACAGAAUACAUGUGUGUGAAUGAGAGGGAGGUCAGUGGAAUGGUGAGGAUGAGGGAGUAGAGUUGGUGAAGGUGGAUGAGUUUAAAUACUUGGGAUCAACAGUACAGAGUAAUGGGAAUUGUGGAAGAGACGUGAAAAAGAGAGUGCAGGCAGGGUGGAGAAGAGUGUCAGGAGUGAUUUGUGAUAGACGGGUAUCAGCAAGAGCGAAAGGGAAGGUCUGCAGGACGGUAGUGAGACCAGCUAUGUUAUAUGGGCUGGAGACGGUGGCACAGGAGACAGAGCUGGAGGUGGCAGAGUUAAAGAUGCUAAGAUUUGCAUUGGGUGUGACGAAGAUGGACAGGAUUAGAAAUGAGGACAUUAGAGGGUCAGCUCAGGUGGGAUGGUUGGAAGACAAAGUCAGAGAGGUGAGAUUGCGUUGGUUUGGACAUGUGCAGAGGAGAGAUGCUGGGAAUAAUGAGAGAAGGGUACUAAGGAUAGAGCUGCCAGGCAAGAGGAGAAGAGGAAGGCCUAAGAGAAGCUUUAUGGAUGUGGAGAGAGAUGAUAUGCAGGUGAUGGGUGUGACAGAGCAAGAUGACGAGGACAGGAAGAUAUGGAAGAAGAUGAUCCACUGUGUCACCCCC